CCCACAGUCGACACCUGGCUGCGGGGCGCCUCGUCGCGUGCCUCAGUUUACCGCCACAUUCCAGCUGCCGCGGGGAGCCCCUUCCUCCCCGGCUCGGAGUGUCCCCCCACCCCAACCCAACACACACACACACACACACACACUGGCAAAGGCGGGAGGUAGCCUGGGAGCGGCCUCAGGUCCUGGGAGGAGAGAACGGCCCCGCCGCCGCCUCCCCGGGCCUUCGCCACCGUUGACAUGGCAACGGAUGGCCGCCAGGGGGCGCGGCGACACUGGAAGGGGCCAGCGAGCAAUGCUCGGGCCUUGCAGCCUUGGACCCCCUGUUCUCUGGAGACAGAGGUGAAACCACAGGACCCUCCGCACCGAGCUGCGCUGGAGCUGGUCCAGCCCUGGGUCAGAAAUCACAGAAAUAGCGAGCAUUCACUCAGCAGCCCCGUGCGCUCCAGAAGUGAAUCAACAGCCCCAUAGGAUCACAAACCCAUUUUACAGAAGAGGACAUUGAGGUUCAGAGGACGCUGCAACUCAGAGGUGACAUCCCCGGCCAGAGUCAGACAGCUGCCUGUGGCCGCACUGUAGUUGAACCAGUUACAGAAGAGGAAACUGAGGCUCAGAGUGGUGAAGGGGCCUGCCCAAGUCCACACAGCCAGGAAGCUACGGAGCUGCGAUGCAAAGCCGGGUCCUCGCAAUGGCUGGGGUUAUUUCCCGUCAUCCUACACCAGUGAUGGCGAACCUGUGGCACCUCU